rnacentral:rRNA from 1 species
UACAGAGGGUGCGAGCGUUAAUCGGAAUUACUGGGUGUAAAGCGUGCGUAGACGGUUAUCUAAGUCAGAUGUGAAAGCCCCGGGCUCAACCUGGGAAUUGCAUUUGAGACUGAAUAGCUAGGGUGCGGUAGAGGGAAGCGGAAUUUCCGGUGUAGCGGUGAAAUGCGUAGAUAUCGGAAGGAACAUCAGUGGCGAAAGCGGCUUCCUGGACCAGCACCGACGUUCAGGCACGAAAGCGUGGGGAGCAAGCAGG